rnacentral:rRNA from 1 species
GAUACGGCCCAGACUCCUACGGGAGGCAGCAGUGGGGAAUAUUGCACAAUGGGCGCAAGCCUGAUGCAGCGACGCCGCGUGCGGGAUGACGGCCUUCGGGUUGUAAACCGCUUUUGAUCGGGAGCAAGCCUUCGGGUGAGUGUACCUUUCGAAUAAGCACCGGCUAACUACGUGCCAGCAGCCGCGGUAAUACGUAGGGUGCAAGCGUUAUCCGGAAUUAUUGGGCGUAAAGGGCUCGUAGGCGGUUCGUCGCGUCCGGUGUGAAAGUCCAUCGCUUAACGGUGGAUCUGCGCCGGGUACGGGCGGGCUGGAGUGCGGUAGGGGAGACUGGAAUUCCCGGUGUAACGGUGGAAUGUGUAGAUAUCGGGAAGAACACCAAUGGCGAAGGCAGGUCUCUGGGCCGUUACUGACGCUGAGGAGCGAAAGCGUGGGGAGCGAACAGGAUUAGAUACCCUGGUAGUCCACGCCGUAAACGGUGGAUGCUGGAUGUGGGGCCCGUUCCACGGGUUCCGUGUCGGAGCUAACGCGUUAAGCAUCCCGCCUGGGGAGUACGGCCGCAAGGCUAAAACUCAAAGAAAUUGACGGGGGCCCGCACAAGCGGCGGAGCAUGCGGAUUAAUUCGAUGCAACGCGAAGAACCUUACCUGGGCUUGACAUGUUCCCGACAGCCGUAGAGAUAUGGCCUCCCUUCGGGGCGGGUUCACAGGUGGUGCAUGGUCGUCGUCAGCUCGUGUCGUGAGAUGUUGGGUUAAGUCCCGCAACGAGCGCAACCCUCGCCCUGUGUUGCCAGCACGUCAUGGUGGGAACUCACGGGGGACCGCCGGGGUCAACUCGGAGGAAGGUGGGGAUGACGUCAGAUCAUCAUGCCCCUUACGUCCAGGGCUUCACGCAUGCUACAAUGGCCGGUACAACGGGAUGCGACACGGCGACGUGGAGCGGAUCCCUGAAAACCGGUCUCAGUUCGGAUUGGAGUCUGCAACCCGACUCCAUGAAGGCGGAGUCGCUAGUAAUCGCGGAUCAGCAACGCCGCGGUGAAUGCGUUCCCGGGCCUUGUACACACCGCCCGUCAAGUCAUGAAAGUGGGUAGCACCCGAAGCCGGUGGCCUAACCCUUUGUGGAUGGAGCCGUCUAAGGUGAGACUCGUGAUUGGGACUAAGUCGUAACAAGGUAGCCGUACCGGAAGGUGCGGCUG